rnacentral:Y_RNA from 1 species
GGCUAGUCUAAGUACAGUGAUGUUUACAACUAAUUGAUCACAACCAGUUACAGAUUUCUUAGUUCCUUUUCUACUUCCAUUGCUUCACUUGACUAUUGCCUCAC